UGGGGAAUUUUGGACAAUGGGCGAAAGCCUGAUCCAGCAAUGCCGCGUGUGUGAAGAAGGCCUUCGGGUUGUAAAGCACUUUUGUCCGGAAAGAAAUCCUUGGCUCUAAUACAGUCGGGGGAUGACGGUACCGGAAGAAUAAGCACCGGCUAACUACGUGCCAGCAGCCGCGGUAAUACGUAGGGUGCAAGCGUUAAUCGGAAUUACUGGGCGUAAAGCGUGCGCAGGCGGUUUGCUAAGACCGAUGUGAAAUCCCCGGGCUCAACCUGGGAACUGCAUUGGUGACUGGCAGGCUAGAGUAUGGCAGAGGGGGGUAGAAUUCCACGCGUAGCAGUGAAAUGCGUAGAGAUGUGGAGGAAUACCGAUGGCGAAGGCAGCCCCUGGGCCCAAUACUGACGCUCAUGCACGAAAGCGUGGGGAGCAAACAGGAUUAGAUACCCUGGUAGUCCACGCCCUAAACGAUGUCAACUAGUUGUUGGGGAUUCAUUUCCUUAGUAACGUAGCUAACGCGUGAAGUUGACCGCCUGGGGAGUACGGUCGCAAGAUUAAAACUUAAAGGAAUUGACGGGGUCAUAGCUGUUUCCU
rnacentral:rRNA from 1 species